AUUGAACGCUGGCGGAAUGCUUUACACAUGCAAGUCGAACGGCAGCACGGGUGCUUGCACCUGGUGGCGAGUGGCGAACGGGUGAGUAAUAUAUCGGAACGUAUCCAAUAAUGGGGGAUAACUAAUCGAAAGGUUGGCUAAUACCGCAUACGCCCUACGGGGAAAGCUAGGGACCUUCGGGCCUGGCGUUAAUGGAGCGGCCGAUAUCUGAUUAGCUAGUUGGUGGGGUAAUGGCCUACCAAGGCGACGAUCAGUAGCUGGUCUGAGAGGACGACCAGCCACACUGGAACUGAGACACGGUCCAGACUCCUACGGGAGGCAGCAGUGGGGAAUUUUGGACAAUGGGCGCAAGCCUGAUCCAGCCAUUCCGCGUGAGUGAAGAAGGCCUUCGGGUUGUAAAGCUCUUUCGCAAGGGAAGAAAACUUAUCCUCUAACAUAGGAUGAGGUUGACGGUACCUUGAUAAGAAGCACCGGCUAACUACGUGCCAGCAGCCUCCGUAA
rnacentral:rRNA from 1 species